rnacentral:rRNA from 1 species
GAUGAACGCUAGCGAUAGGCUUAACACAUGCAAGUCGAGGGGCAGCAUGGUCUUAGCUUGCUAAGACUGAUGGCGACCGGCGCACGGGUGCGUAACGCGUAUGCAACUUGCCUCACAGAGGGGGAUAACCCGUCGAAAGACGGACUAAUACCGCGUACACUUGGGAUAGGGCAUCCUGACCCAAGGAAAUGAAAUUCGCUGUGAGAUAGGCAUGCGUCCCAUUAGCUAGUUGGUGAGGUAACGGCUCACCAAGGCGACGAUGGGUAGGGGAACUGAGAGGGUGAACCCCCACACGGGUACUGGGACACGGACCAGACUCCUACGGGAGGCAGCAGUGAGGAAUAUUGGUCAAUGGGCGAGAGCCUGAACCAGCCAAGUCGCGUGAAGGAUGACUGUCUUAUGGAUUGUAAACUUCUUUUAUACGGGAAUAACAAGAGUCACGUGUGGCUCCCUGCAUGUACCGGAUGAAUAAGCAUCGGCUAACUCCGUG